rnacentral:lncRNA from 1 species
GAAUAAAAAUAUAUUCUCUACGAAUGAUUAUGAUCAAUUUGUUAAAAAAUAUCUCAAAUCUCAAAUAAGAAUGAACAAUUAUGAUCAAUCUACUAAAAGAUAGCAUUCCUAUCCAUCUAUAAAUCCAAUCCUACGAACAGUUAUAAUCAAUUUAUUAAAAAAUAUCUCAAAUAAAAAUAAAUGAUUAUGAUCAAUUUGCUAAAAAAUAACAUUCCUAUCCAUCUAUUUUAUAUUAAAAUUAAAAAUUGAGUUUAAAUCGUGAAUUAAAUUUAAUUUUUGAUAUCAAAUUUGAAUUAAUAAUUAAAUUUUUUUAAUUACAGUAGAUCAAAAUUUAAUUUUAAAAUUUAAAGUAAAUGUUAAUUAAAUUUCGACGCUUUUAGUUUAAAACACAUACUUAAAUUUUAGAUUAAUCAAAAAUAGAAAAAUAUAUAAAAAUAUUCGAUGUAUAUAAAAAAAAAAUGUUGUAAAAUAUUGCAAAUAUUUUCUAAUAAAAUAUAACAUAUGAAUUUAUACAAUAUAAUUUUUAUUGUAAAUAUUCGGAUAAGUAUAAUGUACAAAUUUAUAUUGAUUUGAAAUAAAUUAAAAUAAUUAUUACGUGUAUUUGCACGUACACUCAACUAGUAUAUAUAUAUAUAUAUAUAUAUAUAGAGUCCGGCUACUAUACUAUCGAUAGUACCAAGUCCUUGGUACUAUUGAGUUUUCUACCGUUAGAUCUACCCUUUGAUCAUUUCCACUCGUUAGAUUAUACUAUUAAACCUACCACUCACUCAACCCUAGGGGACCAUUAUUAAUUUAACCGGGGACUACUAUCAUCCUAACCCUACAUCUUUUCAUCCAACGGCCGAAAACUCAAUAGUACCAAGGUGCUUGGUACUAUUGAUAGUAUAGUAGCAUAAUUCUAUAUAUAUAUAUAUAGAGUCCGGCUGGAAUACUAUCGAUAGCAUCAAGCACUUGGUGCUAUCGAGUUUUUCGCCGUUAGAUUUAACACUUUGACUAUUUUCACCCGUUUGAUUAUAUUAUUCAACCAACAACUCACUCAACCCUAGGGGGCCCACAUCAUAUUAACCGUACAUUUCUUCAUCCAAGGGCAGAAAACCUAAUAGCACCAACAACUUGGUGCUAUUGAUAGCAUUCCAGCCUAGUUAUAUAUAUAUAUAUGGCUAAAUUACAGAAAACCUCCUUGUAAUAACCCGCUUUUUCACUUUCCCCCCCUGACAUUUAAAAACCUACACUUUGCCCCUUUGUAAAAUGAAAAAUGUGCACUUCACCCCCUACCGUUAGGUUCCGUUAUAAAAUAUUUUUUUAUGCCGAAAAUACCCCUCCACCCUCUUCAUUGUUGCUUCGCCUCCCUCCGGCUUGCUGCCUCGCCGCCUUGCCGUCCUCCACUACCUCGCCCUCGCCCACAUCCCCUUCGCCCUCCUCCGCCGCCUCGCCUUCGUCCUCGUUGCCCUUUCCUACCUCUCCAUCAACACUCACCUCGAUUUCCUCUUUACUAUUGUCGAAAUCGAGGGGCGGCGAGGGUGCAGGAGGAGAAGGGGAGUAGGUGGAGAAAGAAAUGGAGAGAAAUCGCGGCCGAUUGAGGUAGGAAUCGCGACCGAUCGAAGGGGCGGUUGAGGAAGAUGAGGAAGAAGACGAAAAUGGCGAGGGGCAAAAUGAUCAUUUUACACACCGUGACCCCCCUAUGAACAUUUUUCAUUUUACAAGGGGGCAAAGUGUAGGUUUUUAAAGUGCAGGGGGGGAAAGUGAAAAAGGGGUUAUUACAGGGGAGUUUUCUGUAAUUUAGCCUAUAUAUAUCUAUAUAUAUAUAUAUAUAGAGUCCGACUGGGAUGCUAUCGAUAGCACGAAGCAUUUGGUGUUAUCAAGUUUUCUGCCGUUAGAUUUACCUCUUUUAUCAUUUUCAUCCGUUCGAUUAUACUAUUCAACCAACCACCCACUCAACCCUAGGGGGCUCACAUCAUCCUAACCGCACAUCUUUUAAUCCAAAGGUAGAAAACUUAAUAGCACUAAGUCAUUUGUGCUGUUAAUAGUAUUC